CAGUAGCCUGCCAAGAUUCCACUUAGCAGCUGGUCCCCAGUUAGAUCUCUUCAGUUGACUUCCCAAGCAAGCCUCCCAGAGGCAUAUGCAAACGAUGAUGCACACACACAAAUAUUUGUUAAUGACCAUGGGUUUGGGAAGGUGUUAGUCAUGGCUAGCAUCUUACCCUUUUCAGAAGAAUAGAGAGGCUGUUGCAGCCCCGUGCUUUCUCCUGCUGCCAGGCGAUCGCUUGCUCUGAGCUAACCCUCUAACCCUUGGGAGUCAGUGUGCAGCAGUGUGCUGAUGUGAGCUGCAUCGGGACUGAAAUGGGAGCUCCGGCUGUGGCACUGGCUCAAGUAGCUAAUCUAAAGAGAAAGUAUUUGGGGGAAGACAUCUUGGUUGCACCUCUCACUGCAUCUUGACUAAUUGCUUCCAACUCCGGGGGCUUCCAGGGACAAUCUCAUUGUUCUUUUCUCUCCAAGGGUCAGCCAUGUUAACCAUUUGUUAAUUUCUCCUGAACAGAUCAAGCAAAAGUAAAUAAUCUGCCAGAAGAAUUAGUACGUAGUGCUGAAGAUGUUUCCACAGUGCCUUCACAACCUGAUAAUCAGUUUUCCCACCCCGACAAACUCAAAAGGAUGAGCAAGUCUGUUCCAGCAUUUCUCCAAGAUGAGGCAAGUUUGUCUUUUGUACCUUGAUAAAAAUG